AUGCAGCAGCACGGGCUAGCACCACAGGCGGGCACGCAGGCAGAGAAGGAGCACCACGGCGGCGCGUGGGAGCUCGACGGGGACUCACGGGAGACCACGGAGGACGCGUGCGAGCUGCUGUCCACGACGGAUCGUGGAGGCCGGCUCUGGACUCGCGGGAGCACGAGGAGGACUCGCGGGAGCUCGAGUACGAUGAGAGGGAGCUCCUGCUCCACCAGAUCGUGGUGGCAAAUUCCAGCGACACCCGCAGGUAAUCGCCGCGGGAGGGGAUCGCGGCGGCGCAGGUCUGGGCGGCGGCGGCGGAGCAAGUACUUGGCGACGGCGGCAGCGUUGAAGGUACGUGGUGACGGAGGCGGAACACUUCCUGGUGGGCGGCAAUCACGCAGCUUGGCGGCGCCGGCCCCUGGAGACGCACGGGCGACGGCGGAGGAAGACGACGGGGGUGGAGGGACUUGUUUGUGA
rnacentral:rRNA from 1 species